rnacentral:rRNA from 1 species
CCUACGGGUGGCAGCAGUGGGGAAUUUUGGACAAUGGGCGCAAGCCUGAUCCAGCUAUUCCGCGUGUGGGAUGACGGCCCUCGGGUUGUAAACCACUUUAGUAGAGAACGAAAAGGAGCUAUCGAAUAAAUAGCUCUGCUGACGGUACUCUAAGAAUAAGCACCGGCUAACUACGUGCCAGCAGCCGCGGUAAUACGGAGGGUGCGAGCGUUAUCCGGAUUUAUUGGGUUUAAAGGGUGCGCAGGCGGAGGUGCAAGUCAGCGGUCAAAUUGCGGGGCUCAACCCCGUACUGCCGUGGAAACUGCAUCCCUUGAGUGCGCGAGAGGUAUGCGGAAUGCGUGGUGUAGCGGUGAAAUGCAUAGAUAUCACGCAGAACUCCGAUUGCGAAGGCAGCAUACCGGCGCGCAACUGACGCUCAUGCACGAAAGCGUGGGUAUCGAACAGGAUUAGAUACCCUUGUAGUC